GGAAAUCGUGGAAACAGCGUCAACAACUGACGAAAUCAAGGAAUCAAAGGGUUAAAUUCCUUCGAGCUGACAGGAGUUAAAGCCGUUGUUUGGAGAGUCGUCCUGCCCGUUCAGUGCCUCUGCUCUCCUGUUUACAAGUGGCUGAUUAUCGUCCACUGCCACAGGGUGAUAAUGUGGUGUCUGCACUUCUGCGCCGUCCACAGAUUAACCGUGCUUUUGUCGGGGGGUACAAAGGGAAAAAAAAGGCCCCUCCCCUGCUGCUGAGCCGGGGCUUUCAGCAUGGCCCCCUGCCAGGGGAGGCUUUAAAAGGGUGGGGGCGCGUGGCUCCUCUCACUCUCACGGCAGGACAAACCAAGGGCAUCAAAGCAAGACAAGAUGACUCACCACUGCACCAAGUUCUCCGGCCA